rnacentral:rRNA from 1 species
AUACGGAGGGUGCGAGCGUUAAUCGGAAUUACUGGGCGUAAAGGGUGCGUAGGCGGCUUGAUAAGUCGGAUGUGAAAGCCCCGGGCUUAACCUGGGAAUUGCAUUCGAUACUGUCAGGCUAGAGUAUGUCAGAGGUUGGCGGAAUUCCUGGUGUAGCGGUGAAAUGCGUAGAUGUCAGGAGGAACACCAGUGGCGAAGGCGGCUAACUGGGGCAAUACUGACGCUGAGGCACGAAAGCGUGGGGAGCAAACAGGAUUAGAAACCCUAGUAGUCC